GGAUGAUGGAUGGAUAGAUGGAUGGAUGGAUGGAUGGAUGGAUAGAUGGAUGAUGGAUGGUGGAUGGAUGGAUGGAUGGAUGGAUAGAUGGAUGAUGGAUGGUGGAUGGAUGGAUGGAUGGAUGGAUGAUGGAUGGAUGGAUGGAUGGAUGCUGGAUGGAUGGAUGGGUGGAUGAAUGGAUGGAUGGAUGAUGGAUGGAUGGAUGAUGGAUGGAUGGAUGAUGGAUGGAUGGAUGGAUGAAUGAUGGAUGGAUGGAUGAUGGAUGGAUGAUGGAUGGAUGGAUGGAUGGAUGAAUGAAUAGAUGGAUGGAUGAUAGAUGGAUGGAUGGAUGGAUGGAUGAUGGAUUGAUGGUGGGUGGUGUAUGCC
rnacentral:lncRNA from 1 species